rnacentral:misc_RNA from 1 species
GUAUAUUUAAUUAUUUAUUAUUUCAGAAUAAAUUAGCUCCUCACUUCGCUCGGGCAAGCGCUUAGCGCCUAGGGCAGUAGAGCACCUUCUCGCCUCCCUGCCUAGCGCUUUUGACAACACUGUGGGCACUGCUACCUCCAGAAACAUAGUCAUUACCAAAAAGUUAAUAAAAGGGAGUUCUAAAGUGUUUAAAGUGCUGCUAGCAACUGGGGCAAAAUGGCAAUUAAACAAAUUGUCAUAUUUGUUACUAAGGCAUUUCAAAAUUCAUGGUUAAUUUUCUCCAACCAAGGGAGAAUGAUACAGACUACAAGAAACUCAAGAAAA